rnacentral:misc_RNA from 1 species
GCUGCUAUAGUAGCAGCUGAUCUAUGCCACGGUGUGGAGCAGUCGUGUUCGUACCGCGUUUCGUAGUGUGUUCGUACCGGUACGGUUAUACGACGUUUAUGUUCGACUCUCGGUUUCGUCGCAGUGAUUAUCGUGUACCGUACUCGUGACAAGUGACUGUACCAAAUCUAGUAUUCCGACCGAUUCUUUUGCUGACACAUUGCGAAACGGUGAAAGGCAGAAGAGGACGAGCAGGAGAGGACAACGAGACGAAGGACGAGUAAGGAGUAUCAGCCACAACGCGUUUACCAGGAAAAAUCGAGGGAAAUCUCGACACGGAGAGAAGGUGGCAGCUGCUCUGUCCGAGGCGAGGAUCGUGUUUGUACUGGCGUCCACGAAACGUUGCCGGUGAGGCUAACCAUCGUACGGUGCAUGCAGGAAAUUAAAAGGAGAUCCGAAGUUCGGCUAGCAACACAGGAGAUAGAGAGACACGUGCUGCUAUGGCACAUUUGGUAUUCUUCCGAGAGACGGUCGGGUACCUAGGGAUGGCAGCUUUUAAAGUAGUCCAACCCCUGUUGGUUUCAUCCGUGUUGUAAGAAGUCGAGAGGAAGUUUCCGACCGGAGGAGGAUCCGAGGAAUCCGCGCUUUCCUCGCACGACCAUAACUUCUGUCUCUCUGGUGUAUGAAAUCCCGAACGAAAGUAGCGAUCUUCGAGAAUCUAGCGAAAUUUAUUUAGUCUUUAUUUUGAGUACGUUGCAUAGAUUUUCUGAGAAAUGAAUUUUUCCCGAAGAAAAAAGGAAAAUACGAGAUAAUACGUGACGUUCUGUACUGUACGUUAUCAUUCGUGCGAUACGUCUAUUGCGUUAUUUCUCUUCUACCGUAAGAGCUGAGUAAGAAGGGUUCCUUGAUAUUACGUAAGAUUUACGAAUAUUGUAUCAUCGUUUAAGAAUCGUACGC